rnacentral:rRNA from 1 species
CCCCACAACAAAAUCCAUUUCUUUUUUUUUUUUUGUCUCAGGGUCUUCAGAGUGUAUAUUAAUACUGUUGCAGUUAAAACGCUCGUAGUUGAACUUAGAAUUAUUACAUGCUUAAUUCUUAUCUACUGGAUACUCUACUCUGUACUUAAUUGUAUGGAGUAUCGCCUAGCCAGCGGAGUUGUGGUUAAUUAACUCCUAUCAUUGUACCAGGGUGUAAAAGCCUGAAGUGCAAUAAUGGGGUCAAGUUAAUUAAUUAUAAUGGGGUGCCAGUUAAUUUACUUUGAGUAAAUUAGAGUGUUCAAAGCAGCCUCUUGGGGCUUUGAAUAGUUUAGCAUGGGAUAAUAAAAUAGGAUUGGAUUCCUAUUUGUUGGUUUAAUGAAUCCAAUAAUGAUUAAGAGGGACAGUUGGGGGCACUCAUAUUAAGUGGUUAGCGGUGAAAUGUGUUGACCCACUUAAGAUGAACUAAAGCGAAAGCAUUUGCCAAGGAUGUUUUCAUUAAUCAAGAACGAAAGUUAAGGGAUCGAAGACGAUUAGAUACCGUCGUAGUCUUAACUAUAAACUAUGCCGACCAGGGAUAUGAGUAGUUUAUUUCUAAUUACCACCGGGUGGUUAGAUACUUCUCCUUAUGCACCUUGUGAGAAAUCAUAAGUUUUUGGGUUCUGGGGGAAGUAGGUCGCAAGGCUAAACUUAAAGGAAUGACGGAGGGGCACCACCAGG